GACGAACGCUGGCGGCAGGCCUAACACAUGCAAGUCGAACGAGAAGCCACCUUCGGGUGGUGGACAGUGGCAGACGGGUGAGUAACGCGUGGGAACGUGCCUUUCGGUUCGGGAUAACCCAGGGAAACUUGGGCUAAUACCGGAUACGCCCUCCGGGGGAAAGAUUCAUUGCCGAAAGAUCGGCCCGCGUCGGAUUAGCUAGUUGGUAGGGUAACGGCCUACCAAGGCGACGAUCCGUAACUGGUCUGAGAGGACGACCAGUCACACCGGAACUGAGACACGGUCCGGACUCCUACGGGAGGCAGCAGUGGGGAAUAUUGGACAAUGGGCGAAAGCCUGAUCCAGCGACGCCGCGUGGGUGAAGAAGGCCUGCGGGUUGUAAAGCCCUUUCGGUGGGGAAGAAAAGACCUCGAGUUAACACCUCGGGGUCUUGACGUAACCCAUUAAAGAAGCACCGGCUAACUCUGUGCCAGCCGCCGCAGUAAC
rnacentral:rRNA from 1 species